UAGAAAAUUAGAAAUGACUCGAAGACAUGGUGUUUUGAAGAAUGAUACCCCACGUUAUCAUAAUUAUCAAGGGUUCAUUUGAUGGCAAUUCUCAGUCUCCAAACUCCGAAUCCCAUUCCCGCCAUCACCACAACCACCAAACACUUGUUCCCUUUCACUUCUAGAAGGACCCUCUUUCUCCAAACUCCUUUUCUUUCCAUUGCCAUUGCCCUCAUUCCACAAGCCCCACUUCUCCACUCUUCAGCUCAAGUUUCGCCCUCCAAGCCUCUCCUUUCUGCCAUCGAAAACACCAAAUCUUGGUUUCAGUUCUAUGGUGAUGGCUUCGCCAUUCGAGUCCCUCCUGAUUUUCAGGAUAUCAUGGAACCAGAGGAUUUUAAUGCUGGGCUGUCUCUUUACGGAGACAAGGUGAAGCCAAAGACAUUUGCUGCGCGAUUUGCAUCACCCGAUGGAUAUGAGGUUCUGAGUGUUGUUACUCGACCGACCAAUCAACUUAAAAUCACCUUCUUAGAGGCUCAGGAUAUAACUGAUUUAGGCUCCUUGAAGGACACAGCAAAAAUAUUUGUUCCAGGUGGUGCAACACUUUAUGCUGCACGAUCCAUAAAAAUAAAGGAAGAUGAUGGCUUUAGCAGUCUCGAGUGUGAGUCUUGGGUAAAAGAUAAAAACCGAUGCUGGGAGAGUUAGAACUGGAUUAGUAAGACUCCUUACAAGAGAGUUUGGAUAUCGAUCGCAGAGACACACAAAAAGAAAAGAAGACUUGAACUAUAUAGGUCAACCUGUCAAAGGCUUUGUCUUUGAGGAUAAAAUCCAUGUAGGAAUUUCUAUUUUUAAAAAUAAAACGGUGAAGAAAAAAAAACGGGGUGUCUAAAGAAAUGAAGGUCUACAACUAUCUACGGCUUGAUUAAUUUUGUAAUUUGUAUGUCAUCUAGAAGCAACCUUGUUGAGCUCUAUUACAUGCCACAUUGAGUCUUUUCUUCCCCCUUAUAACUCUUUAACGCAGGACUUACUAUUUCUAUGAAUUUGGUAGAGAUGAGCAGCACAUAGCAUUAGUUGCAGGUGUCAGUGGUGGAAAGGCAAUCAUUGCCGGAGCAACGGCGCCACAAUCCAAAUGGGACAGUGAUGGUGUAAAACUUCGAUCUGCUGCUGUAUCGCUUAAAAUUCUCUAGUCAUAUGCUCGAAUUUCUUAACUUGUUACUUUCACAGUUUCACUCAUUUUUCCUAUGCUAUAGUAGCGGUUCUCAA